rnacentral:tRNA from 1 species
AAAAUCCGUCGAUUUUUCAAUCAUGAGGGUUCAAGUCCCUCUAUCCCCA